AAAGCUGCUCUACUGGAUUGAAAUCUGGUGACUGUGGAAACCAUUGGAGUCCAAUGAACUCAUUGUCAUGUUCUAGAAAGCAGGUGGAGAUGAUCUGAGCUUUGUGACUUUGUGCUUUAUCCUGCUGGUAGUUGACAUCAGAAGAUGCUACACUGUGGUCAUAAAGGG